AAAACACCCCUACGGGAGGCAGCAGUGGGGAAUAUUGGACAAUGGGCGAAAGCCUGAUCCAGCAAUGCCGCGUGUGUGAAGAAGGUCUUCGGAUCGUAAAGCACUUUCGACAGGGACGAUGAUGACGGUACCUGUAGAAGAAGCCCCGGCUAACUUCGUGCCAGCAGCCGCGGUAAUACGAAGGGGGCUAGCGUUACUCGGAAUUACUGGGCGUAAAGGGCGCGUAGGCGGCUUGGCCAGUCAGGCGUGAAAUUCCUGGGCUUAACCUGGGGACUGCGCUUGAUACUGCCAGGCUUGAGGCCGAGAGAGGGUGGUGGAAUUCCCAGUGUAGAGGUGAAAU
rnacentral:rRNA from 1 species